AAAGCAUAUGCACUCUAAGGGGACCGCCAGCGGAAAGCUGGAGGAAGGUGGGGAUGACGUCAAGUCCUCAUGGCCCUUAUAGGUGGGGCUACACACGUCAUACAAUGGCCGGUACAGAGGGUAGCCAACCCGCGAGGGGGAGCCAAUCCCACAAAGCCGGUCGUAGUCCGGAUCGCAGUCUGCAACUCGACUGCGUGAAGUCGGAAUCGCUAGUAAUCGCGGAUCAGCAUGUCGCGGUGAAUACGUUCCCGGGUCUU
rnacentral:rRNA from 1 species